CAAACACAAACAGAGCACCUCCUGCUGCUUACACAGGCUCCAAGGCACCAUACAGCAAGAGAUGUAACAGACCCAGGAGCUCAGGGUGGAACUAUUCCAGCCUGCUUCAGCAGACGCCCUAACGCCUCCUCCAUUUGUGUGUGCUAUGGAAGAGCAGCUGAGCCAAGCACUACAUUUUACGCUGAUGGAAAAGUUAUCAGGGAGAUCAAAGAGGCAAGCAGGAGAAAGUCAUAAUCCUACAUACGCGCUGGAUGUCUAAUGAAUUAUUUGAAUAAAUGAGAAUUUAAGGAAA